GGCGAUUUAGCUCAGUUGGUUAGAGCGUGUGCUUAACACUAGGAUCCUCUGUAGAUCAAGCGUUGCGCACAAGGUCGGCGGUUCGACCCCGUCAAACGUCA
rnacentral:tRNA from 1 species